GACGAACGCUGGCGGCGUGCUUAACACAUGCAAGUCGAACGGAAAGGCCCUGCUUUUGUGGGGUGCUCGAGUGGCGAACGGGUGAGUAACACGUGAGUAACCUGCCCUUGACUUUGGGAUAACUUCAGGAAACUGGGGCUAAUACCGGAUAGGAGCUCCUGCUGCAUGGUGGGGGUUGGAAAGUUUCGGCGGUUGGGGAUGGACUCGCGGCUUAUCAGCUUGUUGGUGGGGUAGUGGCUUACCAAGGCUUUGACGGGUAGCCGGGCUGAGAGGGUGACCGGCCAAGUUGGGACUGAACUGCGGCCCAGACUCCUACCGGAGGCAGCAGUGGGGAAUAUUGCACAAUGGGCGGAGGCCUGAUGCAGCGACGCCGCGUGCGGGGUGACGGCCUUCGGGUUGUAAACCGCUUUCGCCUGUGACGAAGCGUGAGUGACGGUAAUGGGUAAAGAAGCACCGGCUAACUACGUG
rnacentral:rRNA from 1 species